rnacentral:rRNA from 1 species
UGCGCAGGCGGCGCUGCAAGUCGAGUGUGAAAUCCCCGAGCUUAACUUGGGAAUUGCGCUCGAAACUACGGUGCUGGAGUAUGGCAGAGGAAGGUGGAAUUCCACGUGUAGCGGUGAAAUGCGUAGAGAUGUGGAGGAACACCGAUGGCGAAGGCAGCCUUCUGGGCCAAUACUGACGCUCAUGCACGAAAGCGUGGGGAGCAAACA